UACAGAGACUGCAAGCGUUAUUCGGAUUCACUGGGCGUAAAGGGUGCGCAGGCGGUUGUGUGUGUCAGGUGUGAAAGCCUGGGGCUUAACCCCGGAAUUGCGCCUGAAACUACAUGACUAGAGCAUUGGAGAGGGUAGCGGAAUUCACGGUGUAGCAGUGAAAUGCGUAGAUAUCGUGAGGAACACCAGAGGCGAAGGCGGCUACCUGGACAAUUGCUGACGCUCAGGCACGAAAGCGUGGGGAGCAAAAGGG
rnacentral:rRNA from 1 species